AAUAAGUGUAGUUUUACACUAUUCACGUUUAACAUUUGACCGUUUGUUUUAUUUGAAUUUUUUUAUGAUUAGUAUUUUUAUUGCUAUUAGAUGAUAAAACGUGAAUAGUACUCUAUGUGUGACUAAAUAUUUUCAAAAUUUUCAAAAUUUUUUCAAAUAAGACGGACGAUCAAACGUUGGGCACGGAUAUCCAUGACUGCACUUAUU
rfam:Oryza barthii chromosome 6, whole genome shotgun sequence.